CAGCAGCCGCGGUAAUACGAAGGGGGCUAGCGUUGUUCGGAAUUACUGGGCGUAAAGCGCGUGUCGGCGGGCUGAUAAGUCAGGGGUGAAAUCCCAAGGCUCAACCUUGGAACUGCCUUUGAUACUGUUUGUCUUGAGUUCGAGAGGGGUAAGUGGAACUGCGAGUGUAGAGGUGAAAUUCGUAGAUAUUCGCAAGAACACCAGUGGCGAAGGCGGCUUACUGGCUCGAAACUGACGCUGAGGCGCGAAAGCGCGGGGAGCAAACAGGAUUAGAGACCCCUGUAGUCCCUGUCUCUUAUAC
rnacentral:rRNA from 1 species